rnacentral:rRNA from 1 species
CUGACAUGACGGGUGCUAUACUGCAGUCGAACGCUUUUUCUUUCACCGGAGCUUGCUCCACCGAAAGAAAAAGAGUGGCGAACGGGUGAGUAACACGUGGGUAACCUGCCCAUCAGAAGGGGAUAACACUUGGAAACAGGUGCUAAUACCGUAUAACACUAUUUUCCGCAUGGAAGAAAGUUGAAAGGCGCUUUUGCGUCACUGAUGGAUGGACCCGCGGUGCAUUAGCUAGUUGGUGAGGUAACGGCUCACCAAGGCCACGAUGCAUAGCCGACCUGAGAGGGUGAUCGGCCACACUGGGACUGAGACACGGCCCAGACUCCUACGGGAGGCAGCAGUAGGGAAUCUUCGGCAAUGGACGAAAGUCUGACCGAGCAACGCCGCGUGAGUGAAGAAGGUUUUCGGAUCGUAAAACUCUGUUGUUAGAGAAGAACAAGGAUGAGAGUAGAACGUUCAUCCCUUGACGGUAUCUAACCAGAAAGCCACGGCUAACUACGUGCCAGCAGCCGCGGUAAUACGUAGGUGGCAAGCGUUGUCCGGAUUUAUUGGGCGUAAAGCGAGCGCAGGCGGUUUCUUAAGUCUGAUGUGAAAGCCCCCGGC